UGAGUCGACCCNAANNCGAGGCCGAAAGGCGUAGUCGAUGGGAAACAGGUUAAUAUUCCUGUACUUGGUGUUACUGCGAAGGGGGACGGAGAAGGCUAUGUUGGCCGGGCGACGGUUGUCCCGGUUUAAGCGUGUAGGCUGGUUUUCCAGGCGAAUCCGGAAAAUCAAGGCUGAGGCGUGAUGACGAGGCACUACGGUGCUGAAGCAACAAAUGCCCUGCUUCCAGGAAAAGCCUCUAAGCAUCAGGUAACAUCAAAUCGUACCCCAAACCGACACAGGUGGUCAGGUAGAGAAUACCAAGGCGCUUGAGAGAACUCGGGUGAAGGAACUAGGCAAAAUGGUGCCGUAACUUCGGGAGAAGGCACGCUGAUAUGUAGGUGAAGCGACUUGCUCGUGGAGCUGAAAUCAGUCGAAGAUACCAGCUGGCUGCAACUGUUUAUUAAAAACACAGCACUGUGCAAACACGAAAGUGGACGUAUACGGUGUGACGCCUGCCCGGUGCCGGAAGGUUAAUUGAUGGGGUCAGCGCAAGCGAAGCUCUUGAUCAAAGCCCCGGUAAACGGCGGCCGUAACGAUAACAGUCCUAAGGUGGCGAAAUUCCUUGUCGGGUAAGUUCCGCCUGCACGAAUGGCGUAAUGAUGGCCAGGCUGUCUCCACCCGAGACUCAGUGAAAUUGAACUCGCUGUAGAAGAUGCAGUGUACCCGCAGCAAGACGGAAAGACACCGUGAACCUUUACUAUAGCUUGACACCGGNACAUUGAGCCUUGAUGUGUAGGAUAGGUGGGAGGCUUUGAAGUGUGGACGCCAGUCUGCAUGGAGCCGACCUGAAAUCACCCUUUAAUGUUUGAUGUUCUAACGUGGUCCCAUGAUCCGGGUUGCGGACAGUGUCUGGUGGGUAGUUUGACUGGGGCGGUCUCCUCCUAAAGAGUAACGGAGGAGCACGAAGGUUGGCUAAUCCUGGUCGGACAUCAGGAGGUUAGUGCAAUGCGCCGGCCAGCGGCUGCGAGCGUGACGGCGCGAGCAGGUACNUGAAAAGCAGGUCAUAGUGAUCCGGUGGUUCUGAAUGAAGGGCCAUCGCUCAACGGAUAAAAGGUACUCCGGGAUAACAGGCUGAUACCGCCCAAGAGUUCAUAUCGACGGCGGUGUUUGGCACCUCGAUGUCGGCUCAUCACAUCCUGGAGCUGAAGUAGGUCCCAAGGGUAUGGCUGUUCGCCAUUUAGAGUGGUACGCGAGCUGGGUUUAGAACGUCGUGAGACAGUUCGGUCCCUAUCUGCCGUGGGCGCUGGAGAACUGAGGGGGCUGCUCCUAGUACGAGAGGACCGGAGUGGACGCAUCACUGGUGUUCGGGUUGUCAUGCCAAUGGCACUGCCCGGUAGCUAAAUGCGGAAGAGAUAAGUGCUGAAAGCAUCUAAGCACGAAACUUGCCCGAGAUGAGUUCUCCCUGACUCGNCCUUGAGAGUCCUGGAAGAACGAAGACGACGACGUUGAUAGGCCGGGUGUAAGCGCAGCGAUGCGUUGAGCUGACCGGUACUAAUGAACCGUGA
rnacentral:rRNA from 1 species